rnacentral:rRNA from 1 species
GAUGAACGCUGGCGGCGUGCCUAAUACAUGCAAGUCGAGCGAACGGACGAGAAGCUUGCUUCUCUGAUGUUAGCGGCGGACGGGUGAGUAACACGUGGAUAACCUACCUAUAAGACUGGGAUAACUUCGGGAAACCGGAGCUAAUACCGGAUAAUAUUUUGAACCGCAUGGUUCAAAAGUGAAAGACGGUCUUGCUGUCACUUAUAGAUGGAUCCGCGCUGCAUUAGCUAGUUGGUAAGGUAACGGCUUACCAAGGCAACGAUGCAUAGCCGACCUGAGAGGGUGAUCGGCCACACUGGAACCGAGACACGGUCCAGACUCCUACGGGAGGCAGCAGUAGGGAAUCUUCCGCAAUGGGCGAAAGCCUGACGGAGCAACGCCGCGUGAGUGAUGAAGGUCUUCGGAUCGUAAAACUCUGAUAUUAGGGAAGAACAUAUGUGUAAGUAACUGUGCACAUCUUGACGGUACCUAAUCAGAAAGCCACGGCUAACUACGUG